GAGCGGCGGACGGGUGAGUAACACGUGGGUAACCUGCCCAAGAGACUGGGAUAACACCUGGAAACAGAUGCUAAUACCGGAUAACAACACUAGACGCAUGUCUAGAGUUUAAAAGAUGGUUCUGCUAUCACUCUUGGAUGGACCUGCGGUGCAUUAGCUAGUUGGUAAGGUAACGGCUUACCAAGGCAAUGAUGCAUAGCCGAGUUGAGAGACUGAUCGGCCACAUUGGGACUGAGACACGGCCCAAACUCCUACGGGAGGCAGCAGUAGGGAAUCUUCCACAAUGGACGCAAGUCUGAUGGAGCAACGCCGCGUGAGUGAAGAAGGGUUUCGGCUCGUAAAGCUCUGUUGGUAGUGAAGAAAGAUAGAGGUAGUAACUGGCCUUUAUUUGACGGUAAUUACUUAGAAAGUCACGGCUAACUACGUGCCAGCAGCCGCGGUAAUACGUAGGUGGCAAGCGUUGUCCGGAUUUAUUGGGCGUAAAGCGAGUGCAGGCGGUUCAAUAAGUCUGAUGUGAAAGCCUUCGGCUCAACCGGAGAAUUGCAUCAGAAACUGUUGAACUUGAGUGCAGAAGAGGAGAGUGGAACUCCAUGUGUAGCGGUGGAAUGCGUAGAUAUAUGGAAGAACACCAGUGGCGAAGGCGGCUCUCUGGUCUGCAACUGACGCUGAGGCUCGAAAGCAUGGGUAGCGAACAGGAUUAGAUACCCUGGUAGUCCAUGCCGUAAACGAUGAGUGCUAAGUGUUGGGAGGUUUCCGCCUCUCAGUGCUGCAGCUAACGCAUUAAGCACUCCGCCUGGGGAGUACGACCGCAAGGUUGAAACUCAAAGGAAUUGACGGGGGCCCGCACAAGCGGUGGAGCAUGUGGUUUAAUUCGAAGCAACGCGAAGAACCUUACCAGGUCUUGACAUCCAGUGCAAACCUAAGAGAUUAGGAGUUCCCUUCGGGGACGCUGAGACAGGUGGUGCAUGGCUGUCGUCAGCUCGUGUCGUGAGAUGUUGGGUUAAGUCCCGCAACGAGCGCAACCCUUGUCAUUAGUUGCCAUCAUUAAGUUGGGCACUCUAAUGAGACUGCCGGUGACAAACCGGAGGAAGGUGGGGAUGACGUCAAGUCAUCAUGCCCCUUAUGACCUGGGCUACACACGUGCUACAAUGGACGGUACAACGAGAAGCGAACCUGCGAAGGCAAGCGGAUCUCUGAAAGCCGUUCUCAGUUCGGACUGUAGGCUGCAACUCGCCUACACGAAGCUGGAAUCGCUAGUAAUCGCGGAUCAGCACGCCGCGGUGAAUACGUUCCCGGGCCUUGUACACACC
rnacentral:rRNA from 1 species